AGCCACACUGUGUGGUGAAAAGUGACCCGAGAUGUCCUAACUCCAACAGCCUGUGAGGGCUUCUGUACACAGAAAACACUAGUUUUUGUUUUUGUUUUUGGCAGAUGCAAUUAAGGGUCUAGAGACAGGGAGGUCAUCCUGUGGCCCCAAAUACAGUCUCAUGUAUCUCUGUAACCAGGAGGCAGGAAGCUUGACCCAAGGAGAGAAGGCAUGUGAAGAUGGAGCAGAUAGGUUUGAAACUGAGGCCUUGGGAGCUGAAGGGCUGCAGCCACAGCCAGAGACACCUGUGGCCAGCAGGUUUGGGGUUCUCUCCAGGAGCCGUGGAGGUGCCUGGCCUGCCAACACUCUAUUUCCACCCUGUAAAACGAUUCAGACUUCCAGCCUGCAGAACUGGAAAGAACGAAGUUCUACUGUUAAAGCCUCCUGGGUGGUGGUCAUUUGUUACAGGGGCCACAGCAACCUGACGCAGGGCCCAGCAACAGGUGAUGACCAGCCAUUGGACCUUGGCCUUGAGAGGAAGCUGAGCUACUCCAAGCACUUCUGCCAGCUCCGUUGGGGAAAAUCAAGUCGCCAGGUUUGCCCCCCACCCCAGGAGACCCAUUAAAGCCUGAAUCCGACUGGGAGCCACUUCAGCAGGUGCCUAACAAACUAUACUUCUAUAGGAGCAAAUCCAAAUCACCCUAGUCAUGACAGCUGGGCCUUAGAGGAGACUUCCCUAUUCCCCACCCACCUUUCCCUCCAGGAAAAUACAAAGGAGGGUGAUUGGAGAUGCCACCCCAGGACCAGGGUUAGGGCUCAGAAAAGGAAUCCUGCUAGAG
rnacentral:lncRNA from 1 species